UUUCAUUUUUACUUCCCUUCUCUCUCCUGCUCUCUCCCCUUUUCAGAGCACGGCGUCGGCCACCGCAGGUACUGGCUGAAAGCAGCGGGACUCUGGGAGCCUCUCGGAGGAUGCCUUAACGAGCCAAAGGCCUUCUCAGCGGGCGACAAAUGUAUGCAAAUGAGAUGCGUGUCCCAGUGAGGACCCAAGGCCAGGGGAUCGGGGGGCGAACUCCAGCCGAGCGUGUUCUACUGCCCCACCACUGCCCCGAAGACCAACCCCAUCUCUGUCCUAGCCGGGAUGCACAGCGAAUGCUGGCGUCCAGUCCUGGAAGCAGGCUGGGUUUCCAAACAGCAGGCAUUUGUGAAAGGGCCUGAAAUCAUUAUCAGUGUCAUCUCAACCGACGGCCUCUCCGUCGGAGUCAGAAGGGGAUGUGGAGGACUUCAUUCUGUCCAAGGAACAGCCCGGCCAGAGCCUUCAGGCUCAGGGAGGAAGGGCGGACAUUUUUAUUUGCGGAUCUUUAAAAAGCUGCUCGUCACAAUAUGUUUUUAAUGGAAAUAAUAAAAGUGUCACGACACAACAACGUCAACUUAGCAGCCAGAAUAGCAGUAUUGAUCUUUGUGUUGAUGAAACAAAAUGCUUUGCCAUUUUAGUUCAUGAUCUACCAAAUGAUGAAAUUUUCACAGUCAAUGUCACAUUCUUAGUUCCAUGGCAGGUCUAGAAAAUGGGGUGAUAAAAUAUCAUAUUUAUUUCAAGCGAUUGACUGAAAAAUCACAGAUUCACAUUGUCUUAAAAGUAUUAAAUGAAAACAAUAAACACC
ensembl:lncRNA